rnacentral:rRNA from 1 species
GCCUAAAACCUAGCCCCCCGACAACUAAUGUGAAUCAACCCACUAACAAAUAAAAUAAAACAUUUUACACACUUAGUAAAGGCGAUUGAAAAAUGUCUAAGAGCAUCAGAAACAGUACCGCAAGGGAAAAGUGAAAUAAAAAUGAAAUAACUUUAAAGCACAAUAAAGCAGAGACUAAGCCUCGUACCUUUUGCAUCAUGGUCUAGCUAGUUUAAUCAAGCAAAAAGAACUUUAAGUUUGACACCCCGAAACUAAGCGAGCUACUUCAAAACAGCCUCAUGGGCCAACCCGUCUCUGUUGCAAAAGAGUGGGAAGAUUUUUAAGUAGAGAUGACAGAUCUAUCGAGCUUAGAGAUAGCUGGUUAUUCAGGAUUAGGAUCUAAGUCCCACCUUAAGCUAUUUUGUAACUACAAAUACACCUUUUAGCUUAAGAGCCAUUCAAAUAAGGUACAGCCUAUUUGAAACAGGAUACAACCUAAACCACAGGGUAAUGUAAUUAAAACGUGAACAAGUAGGCCUAAGAGCAGCCACCUUUAAUAAUAGCGUUACAGCUUAACCACCCAACAUCUACAAUUCCAAUAACAACCCAAAACCCUUAUACAAUACUGAAUGAUUCCAUAUUCAUAUGGAAAACCAUAUGCUAGAACUAGUAACAAGAAGAAGUCCUUCUCCAAAAUAUAAGUGUGAGCCGAAAUGAACAAUUCACCGGCACUUACCGUCAAUGAACACCUAGUAGCAACCCCACAAGAAAACCCUACUAAAACGAACGUCAACCUUACACUAGAAUAUUUCUGGAAAGAUUAAAAGAAGAGGAAGGAACUCGGCAAACCACUAACCCCGCCUGUUUACCAAAAACAUCGCCUCUCGACAAAUUAUGAGAGGUCCAGCCUGCCCAGUGACCAAGUUAAACGGCCGCGGUACCCUAACCGUGCGAAGGUAGCGCAAUCACUUGUUCUUUAAAUAAGGACUAGUAUGAACGGCAUCACGAGGGUUAUACUGUCUCCCCCUUCUAAUCAGUGAAACUGACCCCCCCGUGAAGAGGCGGGGAUAAAAAUAUAAGACGAGAAGACCCCAUGGAGCUUUAAACUCAGUUUCAAUUGCCCUUAUUUAUAUCAUUUAAACCGGGCAAAUAUGAUUUCUAGUUUUCGGUUGGGGUGACCGCGGAGCAAAAAAAAACCUCCACGAUGAAAGAGCCAACCCUCUAAUCAUAGAGCAACAACUCAAAGAAUCAAUAAAUUGACAUAAUUUGAUCCAAUUAUUUUGAUCAACGAACCAAGUUACCCUGGGGAUAACAGCGCAAUCCACUUCAAGAGCCCCUAUCGACAAGUGGGUUUACGACCUCGAUGUUGGAUCAGGGUAUCCCAGUGGUGCAGCCGCUACUAAAGGUUCGUUUGUUCAACGAUUAAAACCCU